rnacentral:lncRNA from 1 species
CAUAUGUUUGUUUGCUGGUGUUCAAUGGAACCUGAGGGAGGGCAUAAUGGAUCUCCGUUACUAAACCAUGUGGAAGGCUUCCAGAGAUUUAAUAGUCUACCUCGAGAUAACUGGAAGCUGAGCUACUCGGGCAAGAGGCAUGACCUUUUCCAAAUCUCCUGAUACCGACUGUCAAAUUCAGAGGCGUUUUAAAUGUGAGGAAAAGGUCAGUGGAAAAGGCUCUCCUCAAACUUCUUUUAUGAGGCCGAUUUACUGAACUUGCUGACCCAAACCAGAUUUUUUUAUGACUUUAACACGUGUGAAACUUGAUAAUCACUAA